GUCUUACCAGACACGGUUAGAUUUAAUGAUCUGUGUCUAAUACUGUCUGGUAAUGCCGU
ensembl:miRNA gmo-mir-429 gmo-mir-429